AAGCCUGAUGCAGCAACGCCGCGUGAACGAUGAAGGUCUUCGGAUCGUAAAGUUCUGUUGCAGGGGAAGAUAAUGACGGUACCCUGUGAGGAAGCCCCGGCUAACUACGUGCCAGCAGCCGCGGUAAUACGUAGGGGGCUAGCGUUAUCCGGAUUUACUGGGCGUAAAGGGUGCGUAGGUGGUCCUUCAAGUCGGUGGUUAAAGGCUACGGCUCAACCGUAGUAAGCCGCCGAAACUGGAGGACUUGAGUGCAGGAGAGGAAAGUGGAAUUCCCAGUGUAGCGGUGAAAUGCGUAGAUAUUGGGAGGAACACCAGUAGCGAAGGCGGCUUUCUGGACUGCAACUGACACUGAGGCACGAAAGCGUGGGUAGCAAACAGGAUUAGAUACCCUGGUAGUCCACGCUGUAAACGAUGAGUACUAGGUGUCGGGGGUUACCCCCCUCGGUGCCGCAGCUAACGCAUUAAGUACUCCGCCUGGGGAGUACGCACGCAAGUGUGAAACUCAAAGGAAUUGACGGGGGACCCGCACAAGUAGCGGAGCAUGUGGUUUAAUUCGAA
rnacentral:rRNA from 1 species